AGCAGCUACAGGGACAUCUUACCUACAGCCUCCCACCGUCAAGCUUCCAUUCCGCCUUCUGCUGCGAGCAUUCGCCCUUCUGCAACGUAUAUGCUUACUGUAGCAAGCUGAGACAUGUUGAAGCCAUAUUAUCAUUAUGAUGGAUUGGAGGGACCAAAACGUCUAUUCACUUAGCGAAAGGCGCAACCUCACUCGCUAAGACGCAAUUUCGCUUGAGAAGAACCAAUCUAAUAAGCAAUCUGAAAAUACUUCGAAUCGGACACUAGGUGAAGUAGAGGGUCGCCGCGUUCACAUGAUUAAACAGUGGACGUUGUGGGUAUUCUGUAUUCUGAUAAGUCACUCAGCCGAGGUAUUGAAUCUUACAGUCGAAAAAUUCAAUAUACGGCUGCUAUGAAUAAGCAUACUUGAUAGUUAAUGACUGAAGAUGAUGGCGGG
rnacentral:sRNA from 2 species